rnacentral:rRNA from 1 species
CAGCCGCCGCGGUAAUACGUAGGGGGCGAGCGUUGUCCGGAAUUAUUGGGCGUAAAGCGCGCGCAGGCGGUCCUUUAAGUCUGAUGUGAAAGCCCACGGCUCAACCGUGGAGGGUCAUUGGAAACUGGGGGACUUGAGUGCAGGAGAGGAGAGCGGAAUUCCACGUGUAGCGGUGAAAUGCGUAGAGAUGUGGAGGAACACCAGUGGCGAAGGCGGCUCUCUGGCCUGUAACUGACGCUGAGGCGCGAAAGCGUGGGGAGCAAACAGGAUUAGAUACCCUGGUAGUCCACGCCGUAAACGAUGAGUGCUAAGUGUUAGAGGGGUCACACCCUUUAGUGCUGCAGCUAACGCGAUAAGCGCUCCGCCUGGGGAGUACGGCCGCAAGGCUGAAACUUAAAGGAAUUGGCGGG